AUUGAACGCUGGCGGCAUGCCUUACACAUGCAAGUCGAACGGCAGCACGGGAGCAAUCCUGGUGGCGAGUGGCGAACGGGUGAGUAAUAUAUCGGAACGUGCCCAGUCGUGGGGAUAACGUAGCGAAAGCUACGCUAAUACCGCAUACGAUCUAUGGAUGAAAGCGGGGGAUCGCAAGACCUCGCGCGAUUGGAGCGGCCGAUAUCAGAUUAGGUAGUUGGUGAGGUAAAGGCUCACCAAGCCGACGAUCUGUAGCUGGUCUGAGAGGACGACCAGCCACACUGGGACUGAGACACGGCCCAGACUCCUACGGGAGGCAGCAGUGGGGAAUUUUGGACAAUGGGCGCAAGCCUGAUCCAGCAAUGCCGCGUGCAGGAUGAAGGCCUCGGUUGUAAGGUACGU
rnacentral:rRNA from 1 species